rnacentral:lncRNA from 1 species
CUUGCUACUAUUAUCUCUCCUUCUCCUCCAAUCUCCUCUGACUUGAUCGUCGGAGGGCCCCCACUGCCCCAGUGGUGGUGCGAGGCUUGCUUGCAGGUUUCUCGGUGGAAGGUGGAGCGCAAUCAACACCAACCAAGGCAACUCAAACGGAACCCCGUUCACACCGCUGUGCCAAUCGUUCUCGGUUUGGACCAUCAGCAACAGAAAGGAUUCUAAUUGUUAAGUUCGGGUUCGCGCAGUUUGGACUUAAAUCGAUUAGAAGAGUUCUAAUCAAGUUGGGUCAACUCGCACUCACACCUAUUGCUAGCUAAGUAUGGAACCCAAUGGGUCACACACAAGGAAACUUAUCAAGGGUCUAAUUGGAUUAGAUCAUAUUUGCAAGAUAAACAUCCUAGCAGGUGUUGCAAACCUUAGC